UACGGGGGGAGCAAGCGUUGUUCGGAUUUACUGGGCGUAAAGGGCGCGUAGGCGGCCUGUUAAGUCGAACGUGAGAUCCCCGGGCUCAACCCGGGAACUGCGUCCGAUACUGGCAGGCUUGAAUCCGGGAGAGGGAUGCGGAAUUCCAGGUGUAGCGGUGAAAUGCGCAGAUAUCAGGAAGAACACCCGUGGCGAAGGCGGCUCUCUGGGACGGUACUGACGCUGAGACGCGAAAGCGUGGGGAGCGAACAGG
rnacentral:rRNA from 1 species